rnacentral:lncRNA from 1 species
CCUGAGGCCUCCCAAGAAGCUGAGCAGAUGCUGUUACCAAGCUUGUGCAGCCUGCAGAUCCAUGAGCCAAUUAAACCUCUUUUCUUCAUAAAUUACCCAGUCUCGGGUAGCAAUGCAAGAAUGGCCUAAAACAAUGCCCUUAUAAAAGUAACCCCAGAGCGAUCCACACCCUGGGUGAGGACACAGAAGGCAUCAUCCAUGAGGAGCAGGCCCUCACCGGACAAGGUAUCUGCUAGUACCAUGACCUUGGACUUCCCAGUCUCCAGAACUGUGGAGCUCCCUGCCAGGCUGAGAAAACCCUGGAGCAGGCCUUCAAUUCACUCGUGAAGACUGAAGACAAGAAGUCUCUGCAGAGAGGCUCAGAUCCCAGGACAGACACCCCCAUCCGAGGCUGAAGUAGAAGCUGCAGGCUGCAAGACCACAGGCCAGAAAAGCGUGAGACCCUAUGUUCUGGCAAAGAGAGCCUGCAUUAAAGUUGAAGCCACAAGGUCUCUAAGCGGUUCCGCAACUGCUCACAGUGUUUAUCAAGCACAAUGGGAAAAACCUUAACUGUGCACAGGAGAAGCCUGGCAGACACCACCUUAUUCUGGGGACUGAGUUAACCUUGCCUGAAAUGGGACACACAAUACCUUGUGGCUCCAGGGAUGAUGCAUGAAGGCCAAAUAUAGCCUUUGAGGUAUUCUCACCCAAAAUGCACAGCCUGCAUCUAAUUGUCGGGAGACAUCAGACCAACCCAAAUUGAUGGCUGUUCUGCAAAAUGCCUAAUUGUGCUCCUCAGAGGUCUCAGGGGCAUGAGGGACAGGGAAGAGUGGAGAAGCCAGAGGCAUGGCAUCACCAAAAGUAACAAGGGACCCAGGAGGGGGUUCUGGGACAGAAAAGGGAUCUUGAUAGAAAAACGAAGGAAAGCUGAGUGACGUCCAGAGUGUGGUGAAUAGAACACAUUUAGUUUUGAACAAUUGGCAUAGUUAUGCACCACUGGGUUGGACGAGGGGACCCAGGACUCUCAGUGCCACUCCUGCGAUGUUUAUGAAAGUCUGAAAUUAUUUCAAAAUAAAAAGUUAAACCUGGGCAACAUAGCAAGACCCCCUUUCUUAAAAAACAAACAAACAUAAAUGAGCUGGGCAUGGUGGUGUGCAUCUGUAGUCCUAGCUACUUGGGACGCUGAGGCAGGAGGAUUGCUUGAG